rnacentral:rRNA from 1 species
AGAGUUUGAUCCUGGCUCAGAGCGAACGUUAGCGGCGCGCCUAACACAUGCAAGUCGCACGAGAAAGGGCUUUGGCCCCGGUACAAUGGCGCACGGGUGAGUAACACGUGGGUAACCUUCCCAAGAGUGGUGGAUAACCUGCCGAAAGGCGGGCUAAUACAGCAUACGACGGGCUGUCUUCGGACGGUUCGUGAAAGCAGGCCUCUGUACACAAGCUUGCGCUCAUGGAUGGGCUCGCGCCCCAUCAGCUAGUUGGCGAGGUAAUGGCUCACCAAGGCAUAGACGGGUAGCUGGUCUGAGAGGAUGGCCAGCCACACUGGAACUGAGACACGGUCCAGACUCCUACGGGAGGCAGCAGUGGGGAAUCUUGCGCAAUGGACGAAAGUCUGACGCAGCGACGCCGCGUGGGCGACGAAGGCCUUCGGG